rnacentral:rRNA from 1 species
AAUGAACGCUGGCGGCGUGUCUUAAGCAUGCAAGUCGUGCGGCAAGGGUAGCAAUACCCCUAGAGCGGCGGACUGGUGAGUAACGCGUGGGUGAUCUGCCUCUGGGAUGGGGAUAGCCACUAGAAAUAGUGGGUAAUACCGAAUACGUUCACCGGACUGUGGUUUGGUGAGGAAAGGCGCUUCGGCGCCACCCGGAGAUGAGCCCGCGUCCCAUUAGCUAGUUGGUGAGGUAAAAGCCCACCAAGGCGAUGAUGGGUAGGCGGCCUGAGAGGGUGUACGCCCACACUGGGACUGAGAUACGGCCCAGACUCCUACGGGAGGCAGCAGCUAAGAAUAUUCCGCAAUGGACGAAAGUCUGACGGAGCGACGCCGCGUGGAUGAAGAAGGCCGAAAGGUUGUAAAAUCCUCUCGUUGGGGAAGAAUAAGCGUGGGAGGGAAUGCCCGCGUGAUGACAUGAACCGACGAAUAAGUCCCGGCUAACUACGUGCCAGCAGCCGCGGUAAU